AGCCACCGCACAGCCAAAUCCAGACCCACCGCCAAUUGAAGCAGGGAUGCCCAGUGACAAGGAACCACUGAGAGGAGGCCAGCGAGCAAGGGAGGAAGGAGGAAGAAGGGAAGCCUGUUUAUAUGCACAGAUGGAAGAACUGAGUUUAAGACACCGCGAGAGACUACUGAGCAGGGCCUGGAACCCCUGAGGAAACAUCUCAAAGAGCUGGCACCUCAUCCUUGAGCUGGGACUUCCAGAUUCAAACGGCCAGUAUUAGAAAAGGGACUCUCUCCUCCUGCCGCUUCUAUUGGCCUCCCCUCUCUCCCUCCCUUUACUCCACCCCCCAAAAAAGAGAAACUCAUUUAUCCAAUUCAAGCAAUCCCCCUUUUAAGGCGAGCGAAUUCCAAGCCGAGAAUCCCGAGGUCGUCCUGUACCACCAGCCGCUGACAGAAUGAUAAAAAGCCAUCCUUCUAUUAAUGGGUAUUUCCCAUCCGCUCAGCAACCCAGCUGGGGAAGACCAGCUAUAAUUAAUCUUUAACUCUGCGUCAAAAGGGAGAAAAGCAGGUGAAGGGGGGCGGCGGCAGCAGAGGAGAAAAGGGUGGAAACCAGAGCAGAGCAGAACCUGCCACUGGUUCUCACCCACUUUGCGAAAAAUUAACAAAUACACGGAAUGAGAUUUACCACACUGAGAAUUUCAUCAGGCAGCAAAGUCUAUAACAAAAACAGGCUGAUAUGCUGGGAUGGAUGUUUGUGUGGUUUUUUGUUUUUGUUUUUGCAGGAAACAUUUUUUAAGCCAUUGAUCUACUUCACUACCAACUUGUACACAAAUCAGCUUGUCUGACUUGCUUUAAAGAUAAACCCUAUUCCGGAAGGUA